rnacentral:rRNA from 1 species
GAUGAACGCUGGCGGCGUGCCUAAUACAUGCAAGUCGAGCGAACAGAUAAGGAGCUUGCUCCUUUGACGUUAGCGGCGGACGGGUGAGUAACACGUGGGUAACCUACCUAUAAGACUGGAAUAACUCCGGGAAACCGGGGCUAAUGCCGGAUAACAUUUAGAACCGCAUGGUUCUAAAGUGAAAGAUGGUUUUGCUAUCACUUAUAGAUGGACCCGCGCCGUAUUAGCUAGUUGGUAAGGUAACGGCUUACCAAGGCAACGAUACGUAGCCGACCUGAGAGGGUGAUCGGCCACACUGGAACUGAGACACGGUCCAGACUCCUACGGGAGGCAGCAGUGGGGAAUCUUCCGCAAUGGGCGAAAGCCUGACGGAGCAACGCCGCGUGAGUGAUGAAGGUCUUCGGAUCGUAAAACUCUGUUAUUAGGGAAGAACAAAUGUGUAAGUAACUGUGCACGUCUUGACGGUACCUAAUCAGAAAGCCACGGCUAACUACGUG